UACGUAGGGGGCAAGCGUUGUCCGGAUUUAUUGGGCGUAAAGAGCGUGUAGGCGGCCAGGUAGGUCAGCUGUGAAAACUCGAGGCUCAACCUCGAGACGUCGGUUGAAACCAUCUGGCUAGAGUCCGGAAGAGGAGAGUGGAAUUCCUGGUGUAGCGGUGAAAUGCGCAGAUAUCAGGAAGAACACCCGUGGCGAAGGCGGCUCUCUGGGACGGUACUGACGCUGAGACGCGAAAGCGUGGGGAGCGAACAGG
rnacentral:rRNA from 1 species